CUCGAACAUUUUAAUAACGUAGGCGCCGGUCCGUCCAUCCAACCUUGAGCCAUGGCGAAGAGGCGGAGCGAGCGAAGCAGCGAGGCGAAGCCGCGGGAGUCGCCGUCUUCCGCAGGAAAACAGAAAUCACAUCUAGUUCAGGCUGGUGGCCUUCAGUGCUCUGAAUGAAACAAAUAAUACGGAAUCGAUAAGCUUGUCUGGGUUGCAGGACGUCUGACUCAGCGAACCUGGAAUUCCAGUUCUUCUAACUGUUUGCCAGCAAGCAUCAGAUGCUGCCGGGAAAAGAGCCUGAAGCGCUGUUGAAAAUGAUAGCUUGGAUGUUGCUGGCUCGGAAGGUUAACUUAAGGAGGAGCUGCACAAAGCCUGCGACCGUGGAAACGGGUGACAUCAUGGACGUCGACUCAGAUGGGCAAAGGCGCGUCAUGGCAAUAAUGCAUUAGAUUUAGCUGCAAAUUAAUUAAGCCUAUCUGACCUGUGUGCAUGAUUGUGAUUAGUUUGGAGGUGUCAAGCUCCCCAACCACAAGGCUUGUUUAGCUUAGCGACUCUGUUGUUCAUUUUCUGUAUGCAUACAACGCUCCAAACCGACCGUUCCUCCGUAGGUUUGUUUUGUGGAUUCAGGCUUGCAAUUGGGCGUCUGUGUUAUCAGCGCUCUAGGAUCUGACACCUGGGUCCAAUAAUGCACGAAUGAUACUUGAUAACUUAUUACUGGAUAAUGUUUGUGUAGAUUUAAGGGA